rnacentral:rRNA from 1 species
AGUGAACGCUGGCGGUAGGCCUAACACAUGCAAGUCGAACGGCAGCACAAGAGAGCUUGCUCUCUGGGUGGCGAGUGGCGGACGGGUGAGGAAUACAUCGGAAUCUACUCUGUCGUGGGGGAUAACGUAGGGAAACUUACGCUAAUACCGCAUACGACCUACGGGUGAAAGCAGGGGACCUUCGGGCCUUGCGCGAUUGAAUGAGCCGAUGUCGGAUUAGCUAGUUGGCGGGGUAAAGGCCCACCAAGGCGCCGAUCCGUAGCUGGUCUGAGAGGAUGAUCAGCCACACUGGAACUGAGACACGGUCCAGACUCCUACGGGAGGCAGCAGUGGGGAAUAUUGGACAAUGGGCGCAAGCCUGAUCCAGCCAUACCGCGUGGGUGAAGAAGGCCUUCGGGUUGUAAAGCCCUUUUGUUGGGAAAGAAAUCCAGCUGGCUAAUACCCGGUUGGGAUGACGGUACCCAAAGAAUAAGCACCGGCUAACUUCGUGCCAGCCGCCGCAGUAA